rnacentral:rRNA from 1 species
CCUUUGCCGGCGACCGGCGCACGGGUGAGUAACACGUAUGCAACCUGCCCUCUUCAGGGGGACAACCUUCCGAAAGGGAGGCUAAUCCCGCGUAUAUCGGUUUCGGGCAUCCGAGAUCGAGGAAAGAUUCAUCGGAAGAGGAUGGGCAUGCGGCGCAUUAGCUAGACGGCGGGGUAACGGCCCACCGUGGCGACGAUGCGUAGGGGUUCUGAGAGGAAGGUCCCCCACACUGGGACUGAGACACGGCCCAAACUCCUACGGGAGGCAGCAG